rnacentral:rRNA from 1 species
GACGAACGUUGGCGGCGUGCUUAACACAUGCAAGUCGAACGGUAAGGCUCCAGCUUGCUGGGGUACACGAGUGGCGAACGGGUGAGUAACACGUGGGUGACCUGCCCUGCACUUCGGGAUAAGCCUGGGAAACUGGGUCUAAUACCGGAUAGGACCGCACCGUGAGGGUGUGGUGGAAAGUUUUUUCGGUGUGGGAUGGGCCCGCGGCCUAUCAGCUUGUUGGUGGGGUAAUGGCCUACCAAGGCGGCGACGGGUAGCCGGCCUGAGAGGGUGGACGGCCACAUUGGGACUGAGACACGGCCCAGACUCCUACGGGAGGCAGCAGUGGGGAAUAUUGCACAAUGGGCGGAAGCCUGAUGCAGCGACGCCGCGUGGGGGAUGACGGCCUUCGGGUUGUAAACUCCUUUCACCAUCGACGAAGGGUUUCUGACGGUAGAUGGAGAAGAAGCACCGGCUAACUACGUGCCAGCAGCCGCGGUAAUACGUAGGGUGCGAGCGUUGUCCGGAAUUACUGGGCGUAAAGAGCUCGUAGGUGGUUUGUCGCGUCGUCUGUGAAAUUCCGGGGCUUAACUCCGGGCGUGCAGGCGAUACGGGCAUAACUUGAGUACUGUAGGGGAGACUGGAAUUCCUGGUGUAGCGGUGAAAUGCGCAGAUAUCAGGAGGAACACCGGUGGCGAAGGCGGGUCUCUGGGCAGUAACUGACGCUGAGGAGCGAAAGCAUGGGGAGCGAACAGGAUUAGAUACCCUGGUAGUCCAUGCCGUAAACGGUGGGCGCUAGGUGUGGGUUUCCUUCCACGGGAUCCGUGCCGUAGCUAACGCAUUAAGCGCCCCGCCUGGGGAGUACGGCCGCAAGGCUAAAACUCAAAGGAAUUGACGGGGGCCCGCACAAGCGGCGGAGCAUGUGGAUUAAUUCGAUGCAACGCGAAGAACCUUACCUGGGCUUGACAUAUACAGGAUCGCGCCAGAGAUGGUGUUUCCCUUGUGGCUUGUAUACAGGUGGUGCAUGGUUGUCGUCAGCUCGUGUCGUGAGAUGUUGGGUUAAGUCCCGCAACGAGCGCAACCCUUAAGCUUAGUUGCCAUCAUUAAGUUGGGCACUCUAAGUUGACUGCCGGUGACAAACCGGAGGAAGGUGGGGAUGACGUCAAAUCAUCAUGCCCCUUAUGAUUUGGGCUACACACGUGCUACAAUGGACAAUACAAAGGGCAGCGAAACCGCGAGGUCAAGCAAAUCCCAUAAAGUUGUUCUCAGUUCGGAUUGUAGUCUGCAACUCGACUACAUGAAGCUGGAAUCGCUAGUAAUCGUAGAUCAGCAUGCUACGGUGAAUACGUUCCCGGGUCU